AAAAAGGAAGAAGCUUUGCAUAGUCCCGCCACCGAAAUUCAGCUCUUUUAAGUGUGUAGACCUCUCAUCGAACAUUUUUUUGAAAUUCCUCGCAAUUCCUCACUAUCCCUCUUUAAAAAACGAAAAUCUAUGCUAUAUAUCAAUAAAAAGUCAACAGGAAUUAAAAUGAUGCAGAAUAUCUAUGAUUAAGUGCAAUCUUUGGGGAAUGAACUGUUUUUACUAGUGUAAUUGUCUCGUUCACCAAGACGUGAGCAGAAAACCUUUUUGUCUGAAACUUCUUUUAACGUGUUUUUCCUAAAAUGAACUAAUAAACUUUCCCGAUUACUAGUAAGAGUAAUAUAAUGAAUGUAGUUUAUUAUAAUUUGUUAUUUUUGUUGUUUGCGGAUAUUGAAUGAUCCAAUUGUGGUGCUCUAUGACAUAGAGUCUGAGCCAGUGACAGUAUAAUACUGAGGUGUGUAGCCAACAGGCAGGCGUGAGGGUGUGAGUGACUGGACUCAUUUGCACAGACUCCAAAAUGUAGUUUUAAAAAGUAGUCUCUGAUUUUAAAUACAUACCUCCUGGCUUAGCAAAUGGAAGAAGGUGCCAGAAGUAAAGGAAUGUGAGUGGCCUCUGGAAGCUGGAAAAGUCACCAAAAUUAAACUCCUAGCUGAAAAAUUAUUUUAAAUACGUGGCGUGUCCAUGAAACAAGCUCAGAAGAAUCCUAGAUCAUGCUGCAACUCUCCACUGCCUGCAAGUCCUCACCAGCCUCCCUGCCUGCUUUCCUGGACACUAAGCAAGCUGUCCUCGUCCUCAAGAUACAGGAGUGAAGAACGGAAACAAAGACCAAAUGAAACAAGUGUUAACAGGUGCUAUGAUGGACGUUUUUAGCAGAUACAGGGAAGGCCGUCAAAAGCAAGAGAUCAAGACCUUCUGAGUGUUUUCUCUAACAAUUGCUCCUUCCUCAGAUAGAGACCUCUAGCAACUAUAUUAGCAAUCUGUGACCCUACUCACUGGCCAUGCAUGAUUGACCCAGGGCUGGACACUCAGGCUGGGCCGAUCAGAUCUUUUCUUCUAAGACUUUGGAUUUGACAUUCUAAUCUAUCAUU
rnacentral:lncRNA from 1 species